rnacentral:rRNA from 1 species
AGUGGCGGACGGGUGAGUAACGCGUAGGGAACCUGGCCCUUACAGGGGGAUAACAGAUGGAAACAACUGCUAAUACCGCAUAAGCGCCCAGCCUCGCAUGAGGCAGAGUGAAAACUAAGGUGGUAAGGGAUGGCCCUGCGUCCGAUUAGCUAGUUGGUAUGGUAACGGCAUACCAAGGCGACGAUCGGUAGCCGGCCUGAGAGGGUGGACGGCCACAUUGGGACUGAGACACGGCCCAAACUCCUACGGGAGGCAGCAG